UACGGAAGGUCCGGGCGUUAUCCGGAUUUAUUGGGUUUAAAGGGAGCGCAGGCUGGAGGUUAAGCGUGACGUGAAAUGUAGCCGCUCAACGGCUGCACUGCGUCGCGAACUGGCCUUCUUGAGUGAGUGCGACGUCAGCGGAAUUCGUGGUGUAGCGGUGAAAUGCUUAGAUAUCACGAAGAACCCCGAUUGCGAAGGCAGCUGACGAGUCCUUAACUGACGCUAAAGCUCGAAGGUGCGGGUAU
rnacentral:rRNA from 1 species